rnacentral:lncRNA from 1 species
UCCCGUUCUAGACCUCAACCGGUUUCAGACAGAUUUGAUGAGAUUGAUGGUUCUUGUUCUGAUUCUGCUUGUGGAGUCAUUCUUGAAAAUGGUGUUUGCUGCAAUAGAAGACCUGUCAAAGGAAGAAAGAGAUGUAUAGAGCAUAAAGGGCAGAGAAUAUACCGUGUUUCCCCUGAAAAACACACACCGCCACAGCCCGAGAUCUUCACGGGACAAGUUAUUUGUGGAGUGAUCUUACCUAACAUGGAAGCUUGCACUAAGAGACCUGUUUCAAGAAGAAAACGAUGCGAGGAUCACAAAGGCAUGAGGAUCAACGCUUUCCUCUUUCUUCUUAACCGGACAGAUCGUGAGAAAACCGUCAAAUCUGAGAAACCUUAUUCUGAAUCGCAUACCGAAGACACAAACAAAGAAAAAGCUUUGAAUCGCUUCUGUGAAGCUACAACAAAGAAUGGUUUACCUUGCACAAGAAGUUCUCCUAAAGGAAGCAAAAGAUGUUGGCAACAUAAGUAGGAUAUAGAAAAGAAACAGAUGUUAAAAGAAGAGAGUAAACAAAUCGUUAUUUAAA